GGAGAGAUGCCCGAGUGGUCGAAGGGGCACGCCUGGAGAGCGUGUGUGCGGAUCCCGUACCCUGGGUUCAAAUCCCAGUCUCUCCG
rnacentral:tRNA from 1 species